rnacentral:misc_RNA from 1 species
AAAGUCGUAACAAGGUUUCCGUAGGUGAACCUGCGGAAGGAUCAUUACUGAGACUGGGUGCUUCGGCGCCCGACCUCCAACCCUUUGUCUACCUUACCACUGUUGCCUCGGUGGGCCGCGGCUCACGCCGCUCCUGCCGACGGCCCAAAACCAAAACUCUUGUUUAAACACCGUUCAUCUGAGAAUAAAAACAAUAACUUCAAAACUAUUAACAACGGAUCUCUUGGUUCUG